CUCGAGGUCGAACAAGGGUGUGUGACCCUACAAUCCGAAACGCGAGACUUAAUGCUUCGCCUGCGAUUGUAGAGUCAUACACCUCUGCUAGCCUUCCGG
rfam:Physcomitrella patens subsp. patens PHYPAscaffold_4 genomic scaffold, whole genome shotgun sequence.